GUUGUAGCCAUGGAGACCUCAGAUUUGGUUGAAAUAAAUAGACAAAAUUAAAACCUGCACAAAAAGUUGGUAUCAGAACAAACAAUAUUGACAGUUUAUAUUUCAAGAGUAUUUUUGUCUGAGGAAAUCAAUCAUUCUACAGACAUGACCUCAUUCUGAUCUCUCAGGCUGUAAGAUCCACAAGAGUAGAGACAAUUGCUGGCCGUGCUUAUCACUGUGGACCCAAAGCCUGAAGUAGCAUCUGGUUCAUUAAACACAUGAUGAAUAUAUGUUGAAUAACUAAAUGAAUGAAAACACCGUUCUUCAAGCUCCCACUAACACCUUACCACUCUCUACCAUGUCAACUUAUUUUAUUAUAACAAUUGCUCAUCAUUAAACCGUAUGGUCCUGGAAGAAAAAGACUGUUUUUAAGUCUAUAAAGUCAUAUUUAUAUGUGAAAUCAUAAUUACAUCCCCAUAACACAAUGUCCUGCAUAUGGUAGAUAUUCAGUUAUUCAGAAUGAGAAAAAUGGAAUGAGUGAAUGAAUUGCUAUAUGGGCAGGGCAGCUUGCCAGUGAUGCUCUCAAGUGAUCCUUUUUCUUAAAUAAAUCUUUCCUUCCUGGUUUUGAUAAUAGUUUCCAUAUAACACCAAAAUAUAACUGAAACGUAAAAACAUUGCUUUGUGCUCCAGAUGUUUCAUUUUCAGAAGCCAAACAUCCAGAUCAUUUGGACCCAUAUGAAAAACUGAGCAUCUCUUCAUCCAAAUGUUUGGCAUUUUCUUGGCUUAUUCAGAGUCCAAAGGAAGAAAGAAAUGGAUGCGUUACCCCUACGCCAUCAAUACAGAGAGAAAAUGAAAAUAAAUAAUUAGUAUGAUUAAAGCCCAC
rnacentral:lncRNA from 1 species